rnacentral:rRNA from 1 species
UACGUAGGUGGCAAGCAUUAUCCGGAUUUACUGGGCGUAAAGGAUGCGUAGGCGGAUUUUUAAGUGAGAUGUGAAAUACCCGGGCUCAACCUGGGGGCUGCAUUUCAAACUGGAAAUCUAGAGUGCAGGAGAGGAAAGUGGAAUUCCUAGUGUAGCGGUGAAAUGCGUAGAGAUUAGGAAGAACACCAGUGGCGAAGGCGACUUUCUGGACUGUAACUGACGCUGAGGCACGAAAGCGUGGGGAGCAAACAGG